UUUUAAAGCCCUAUGAAGAGUUCUCUACUUGUUGGAAGCAAACAGGGAAGAAAGAGUCAUUUAUGCAACGAUGAAAUUUCUAGAUUUCUCAUGGGAAAGUGGCUGAUGUCAGUGCUUGAUAAGUUUCUUGUGGAAACAAGCAGGCAAGAUGCAGACUUCUGAGAAAACGCCAUCCUUCAAUUCGGAGUCACUGUUUACCUGAGGCUGGCAUUUAGCACACCACUGACCAUGCCGAGGGAUGAAGUGAGGAUGUGGAGAAGCCCAAGGGCUGUGGAGACACCCUGGUGGGGAUUUCCUAUACGAUGAUCGAUCACCUUUGCCUUAUCAUUCUCAAGCCAAUUCAGAGGAAGAACUGUGAAGCUGAGAAAAUGCAAAGCAAGAAAAUAUGACUUGGGUCUAGGAAAACCAAGCACUAUAUGUAUCAUGGAUACUUUAUCUGCUGUAUUUGACACAAUCGGAAGCCAAUAAAAGACAUUUAGUAACUAGCA